rnacentral:misc_RNA from 1 species
UAUAGCUACCCAUCGACAGGCACAGGCGCACACGCAGAGACUGUCUUUUUCACACCGGGCCGUUCAGCGAGUUUUGUGCUGUAAGCUAGCGGAACCCAUCCUUGCCUUUUACCCACUCGCGUGAUUUCUUCACAUCUAUCGGAAGCGGGGCUGUAAUGCCGUCUCGCAUCGUCAGGGAUCCCGGCGUACCGCCGACUCUGGUGGCGCGUCCCGAGGACGUGUUCGAGGACAGCGGAUCAGGGUACUCUUCCAUGUGGGCUCACGCUUUGAAUGGCGUUGCCGUCGGCGAACGCUACGACACCGCGAAAAGUAGCGCGGCAGCCACACUUCCGGUGAAGUGGGACCGCGACGAAGCGCUAUGGCAGCUGAAGAUAGCCCUUGGCGUCUCACCUGUACUGCGGGAAAGAGACGUGCCACACUUGGCAAGCCCAGCUCUGCGCACUCACAGCAGCGCACAGGUGCCCUUGGAACUCAAGGCCGGGGACGAGGCAGCUGCUGCCGUUGCCCAGAAAACGUCCACUUCCGAUAAGCAACCGCCAUCGGCUCAAGAGGGCGCCUCCAGAAAGGGCAACAGGCUCGACCACUUCAUUCCUCCUGUCUACAGAUUCAGCUCUGCCUCGUCGGCGUCCUCUUCGCCUCUGUCGCAGGCCUAUGUGCAAACCGCUCUGGCUCGCAUCCAGGACGAAUGCGACGCACUGAUGCAGCGCUUAGGCGUGGGUGCUGCCAAGUCAAGUGCGGAAUUAAACCAGGCAAACACGGACAUGCCCGACGACGAGCUUCAGGCGGCGCAGCUGAUGCGCCUGCUCGCGGAGCCAUCGACACUGGCCCAGCUGCAGCGACGUGCAGACGCCGCGAUACUGGAAAAGGAAUGCGUCUUUCGGAUUCGCGAUCUCCUCGCUGCUGAGCUGCAGCGCCGCCACGUGCCGCUCGAGGCGGCCCAGGAUGACUUUUACCCUUUCUUUGAGCAGGUCGACCGCACUAAGAUGGCCCUAGAAGACUACUACCACGUGCAGAGUGCGAUGCAUACAAUGGCGCCGAUGAUGGAGGCGGCGGUCGCCGUGGCGGAAUGUCUGCGCGAUGUCGAUGCCACCACAUCAAUGCAAGGGAUGCAACGCAUAAGCGCCGUGGAGGCGGCAAUGAACUCCUUGCUGGCGCAGGUGCAAGAGGACGCGGUGAUGUUGCAGAAGAACUUGGAGGCUCUGCGGUGCCGUUUUGAGGCGCUGUAGGGCCGAGAAGCCUCAGACGAUCGAAAAGGUAACAGAAGGGAGGCAUCGGACCUCUUGGCCAGACACGUUCCUCUGUGGCCGCAGCCCAGUGGCGCUUGUCUUUCUCUUCCUCUCAGUCCUCUGCACACUUGUUUCCUCACCGAGACUUCUGCCUGUGCGCUGGCUCGACGUCAGGUGCCGCUGGCUCCAUUUUUCUAGUCUCUCGCCUGCGCUCUUUGUUCGAUAGCCGCGGAGGGUGGAGCAGCCGCUCUUCCCAGGGCAGCAGGUUCUCUUUCUCCGGUCACGUACGUCUCUCGCUCUAGUAGCUGUCAUCCACUGUUAUCCGUGCCUUCAAGUGCACCUCUAUGCGGUCGUCGCUGAUCUUGCUACCUAGACACUCUCUGGGCAACA